AACGAACGCUGGCGGCGUGCCUAACACAUGCAAGUCGAACGAGAAAGGGGCUUCGGCUCCGAGUAAAGUGGCGCACGGGUGAGUAACACGUGGGUAACCUGCCUCUAAGAUUGGGAUAACUCGUCGAAAGAUGAGCUAAUACCGAAUAAGACCACAGUUCCCGCGGGAACAGGGUUCGAAGGUAGCCUCUGCUUGCAAGCUAUCACUUAGAGAUGGGCCUGCGCACCAUUAGCUAGUUGGUAGGGUAACGGCCUACCAAGGCAAAGAUGGUUAGCUGGUCUGAGAGGAUGAUCAGCCACAAUGGAACUGAGACACGGUCCAGACUCCUACGGGAGGCAGAAGUGGGGAAUAUUGCGCAAUGGGCGAAAGCUUGACGCAGCAACGCAGCGUGAGUGAUGAAGGCCUUCGGGUCGUAAAGCUCUGUCGGGAGGAACGAAUGCUCCUGAGGUUAACAGCCUCGGGAGGUGACGGUACCUUCAAAGGAAGCACCGGCUAACUCUGUG
rnacentral:rRNA from 1 species